GCUACGGACAAAGGGCAGCAAGUUCGCGAGGACAAGCAAAUCCCAUAAACCGUGGCUCAGUUCAGAUCGUAGGCUGCAACUCGCCUACGUGAAGGAGGAAUCGCUAGUAAUCGCAGGUCAGCAUACUGCGGUGAAUACGUUCCCGGGCCUUGUACACACCGCCCGUCACACCAUGGAAGUUGGCCACGCCCGAAGCCGUUACUCCAACCCUUGUGGAGGAGG
rnacentral:rRNA from 1 species